rnacentral:lncRNA from 1 species
UGAAUAUAAUAUCAUCAUAUCUCAUCAAGAGCUAAUAAAAUCUCCAAGUAGCCAUGUCAUAUAAAUCAGACUACAUUACUAAAUAUAAAAUCUCAUCUCAACAUACUGAGUGAUAAAAUGUCAAAUAGACAAUAAGCAUAAACAGCCAAACGCCCUACUCAGAGCUGACACACUAAGACUCUGGAAACGAAAGACAUAGCUCCAAAGCGAACCUCCAACAGCUCACCAAGCAAAGCAAACUACUCCUGCACAUCGUCUACUCAUCCAUACGAACAAGGUAGGCGGUCAACCAAAUGACCACUAGGGGUUAGUUCACAUUUCAUAAAUUAAGUAAAAUCAAAUGAAAAGCAAACAACACUAUUAAAUUUUCAAAUGAUUAAUAAACUCAACAUCAUCAUAAAUCAUCAAGUAUACAAGUACAACCAAGCAAUGCGUAAAACUCACCUUUUUCGAGUAUGCACAUACACACCAAUUGACAUAUCCAAGUAUGACUCGACUCACCAAUUAACAAAUGCAUGCAAUGUUCUAGACUCAUCUAGAUGCAUGUGGUACCAUUAGGAUUCCAGAGAUAAUUUUACCGUUAAUGAAUCCACCAACAUAAUAAACGUCACCAAUUAUGUUCUGCUCUACACUUUCAGUGCAUUUCUUUUCUACUACGGGGUUGGGGGUCAGCACUGUGGUGCUGUUUGGUGUCACCAGAGCCUUGCCGCUAGCGGGCCUCCUGUUCUCUAGGAUUUAAGAUUUGGUUGCUUGGUUGUUGUUGCUCGAAAGAGCUGGGUGUGCAGAUGCUUCGUAUUGACGGAGUAGUCGUUUGUCGUACCUUAAGCCUUUAUGACCACUCUGUUGCUAGUGACUGCAGGUCCUUCACGAUUAAUCCUCCUUCUUCGCAAUUUUUGGAUCGUUCGUGGUCGUAAGGAUCGUGGUUGUUUGUGGUUGUUUAGCCGGUGGUUGUGGUGUGGGCCGGUCUAUUCAGGUUC